rnacentral:rRNA from 1 species
GCGGAUGAGUGGAGCUUGCUCCAUGAUUCAGCGGCGGACGGGUGAGUAAUGCCUAGGAAUCUGCCUGGUAGUGGGGGAUAACGUUUCGAAAGGAACGCUAAUACCGCAUACGUCCUACGGGAGAAAGUGGGGGAUCUUCGGACCUCACGCUAUCAGAUGAGCCUAGGUCGGAUUAGCUAGUUGGUGGGGUAAUGGCCCACCAAGGCGACGAUCCGUAACUGGUCUGAGAGGAUGAUCAGUCACACUGGAACUGAGACACGGUCCAGACUCCUACGGGAGGCAGCAGUGGGGAAUAUUGGACAAUGGGCGAAAGCCUGAUCCAGCCAUGCCGCGUGUGUGAAGAAGGUCUUCGGAUUGUAAAGCACUUUAAGUUGGGAGGAAGGGCAGUAAGUUAAUACCUUGCUGUUUUGACGUUACCAACAGAAUAAGCACCGGCUAACUUCGUGCCAGCAGCCGCGGUAAUACGAAGGGUGCAAGCGUUAAUCGGAAUUACUGGGCGUAAAGCGCGCGUAGGUGGUUCAGCAAGUUGGAUGUGAAAGCCCCGGGCUCAACCUGGGAAUUGCAUCCAAAACUACUGAGCUAGAGUACGGUAGAGGGUGGUGGAAUUUCCUGUGUAGCGGUGAAAUGCGUAGAUAUAGGAAGGAACACCAGUGGCGAAGGCGACCACCUGGACUGAUACUGACACUGAGGUGCGAAAAGCGUGGGGAGCAA